CUUGAUUUGACUUCCUCUGCUUGGUGUGGCUAAGAGUCCUCCUAAAAGAGACCCAAGGUCUGGUUUCAUCUAAAAAGCAGCGUGAACCAACCAUCAUGCUGAAGAUCUUAAAGCUCCACCUCUAUCUGCUAAUGUGGUGUCAAGCUGCAGAGACUUUAACAGAUCAGCUUACAGAUUUGGGUCAAAAUGUGACUAUAAACUGUGAUAUUGAUGCAAAGGUUACCACGUGGAUUUUGCUGAAUUUACCAAAUUGUCCGGUUGUGAUAUUGGACUCACUCUUAAACCCACCAUCAGUAUUUUACUACAAAAAUAACUUCAGGCUCAAAUAUUCAGUGCAACCCAAACAUCGUCUUUUCAUAAAUAACAUCACUGUUCAUGAUUUAGGAGUUUAUUAUUGCAUGAACACAGGAACAGGUGUAAAACUCAGCAACGGCACCAGACUACAGACUAUCAGCAUACACACUGACCCAACUACAACUGCAGUUACCGAGUUACCACAGUGUCAGAAUUGCACUGAAGUGUUGCUAAAUGAGCAGACAACAUGGAUGAAUCUUCUUGCUCUAAUAUUUUGCAUGAUCAGUGUUUUACUGAUCAUUGGGAUGAUAGCAAUCCUGUUAAAAUGUUCAUCUGAUGGAAGUUACCAAAAUCCAAAACGACAUAUGGACCAACAGUAGUAUCAAGUUACAGAUCUUGGGGUGACCAGAGUCCCAACUCUCUUAAAAUUGUAAAUAGCUUGACCCAAUCUUUUCCCUUUAACUUUUAAUAUCCUUGUUGUCCCAUGUUUUUUAUUGGGGGAAAAAGCUGAUCCUCUGCCAUAAAUUAAUGGGCAUUAAGUGCCAUUAAGUGUGCGCAUAGAAAGUACAGGCUACCGGUUUUUAGGAUAGCUCACUAUGUUGAGUAUUUCUUUUAAUAAUGAGCUUAAAUGAUAAAAUGUUUUUUGAUAGUUUUAAGAAAUGAGGUACAUGAUGUAUAGCAAUGCAUUUCAAACAGUCAUGUUUAUUUAAAUAUGUUUUAGUUAAUUAGUCAAAGGAAGUCUCUGAGCAGCUUUUGAGGAUCCUCAAAUUUGGUUGUCAUGAAACUUGCAUCUGUAACUUGGAUUUGUCAUCAUAGCAUAAUGACUUGCAUAUAUGGAGUUGCAUUUUAUUUUCUGUUUCACAUGUAACUUUUGUUCAAUUAAUU